rnacentral:RNase_P_RNA from 1 species
GAAGCUGACCAGACAGUCGCCGCUUCGUCGUCGUCCUCCUUCGGGGGGAGACGGGCGGAGGGGAGGAAAGUCCGGGCUCCAUAGGGCAAGGUGCCAGGUAACGCCUGGGGGGUGUCACAGCCCACGACCAGUGCAACAGAGAGCAAACCGCCGAUGGCCCGCGCAAGCGGGAUCAGGUAAGGGUGAAAGGGUGCGGUAAGAGCGCACCGCGCGGCUGGUAACA